rnacentral:tRNA from 4 species
UUCCGUCGACUUUAGAAAUCGUGAGGGUUCAAGUCCCUCUAUCCCCA